rnacentral:rRNA from 1 species
CGGGCGAGGCGCCGGUCUAAGUCCCUUGGAACGGGGCGUCAGAGAGGGUGAGAAUCCCGUACGCGACCGGUGACCGAGUCCAUGUGAAACCCCUUCGACGAGUCGAGUUGUUUGGGAAUGCAGCUCAAAAUGGGUGGUAAAUUCCAUCUAAAGCUAAAUACCGGCCAGAGACCGAUAGCGCACAAGUAGAGUGAUCGAAAGAUGAAAAGCACUUUGGAAAGAGAGUCAAACAGUACGUGAAAUUGUUGAAAGGGAAGCGCUUGCAACCAGACCUGCCCGCGGGCGAUCAACCGUCCUUCUGGGCGGCGUACUCGCCCGCGAUCAGGCCAGCAUCGGUUCGGGCGGUCGGAUAAAGGCCUUGGGAACGUAGCCCACUUCGGUGUGGGUGUUAUAGCCCUCGGUGCAAUGCGGCCCGCCCGGACCGAGGACCGCGCUUCGGCUAGGAUGCUGGCGUAAUGGUUGUCAGCGGCCCGUCUUGAAACACGGACCAAGGAGUCUAACAUCUAUGCGAGUGUUUGGGUGUCAAACCCAUGCGCGCAAUGAAAGUGAACGGAGGUGGGAACCCUUCGCGGGGCGCACCAUCGACCGAUCCAGAUGUCUUCGGAUGGAUUUGAGUACGAGCAUAGCUGUUGGGACCCGAAAGAUGGUGAACUAUGCCUAAAUAGGGUGAAGCCAGAGGAAACUCUGGUGGAGGCUCGCAGCGGUUCUGACGUGCAAAUCGAUCGUCAAAUUCGGGCAUAGGGGCGAAAGACUAAUCGAACCAU